rnacentral:rRNA from 1 species
UACAGCGGUCUCAAGCGUUGUUCGGAUUCAUUGGGCGUAAAGGGUGCGUAGGCGGCGCGGUAAGUCGGGUGUGAAAUCUUGGAGCUUAACUCCGAAACUGCAUUCGAUACUGCCGUGCUUGAGGACUGGAGAGGAGACUGGAAUUUACGGUGUAGCGGUGAAAUGCGUAGAUAUCGUAAGGAAGACCAGUGGCGAAGGCGGGUCUCUGGACAGUUCCUGACGCUGAGGCACGAAGGCCAGGGGAGCAAACGGG